UUCACAAUCUAGGGUUUAUUUUGGUCUAAUUAACUAAUUUAAUUUCCAAAAAUCUGAAUUAUUGGUUCUAAAUACUAAGAUUAUGAAAGAUUAUAAUCAGCGAUUACAUUAUUAUUAUUUUACCAGAAAACUAACUUGAUUAUUGAAACAAAUAUCCCUAAAAUUAUUUUAAGGUUGAAUCAAAUUCGGUUGCUAAUGUACUGCACAAGCCUUUAAUGUUAGGAUUAACUCUGAAAUUAGACCUCCUUUCCCUGGUUUUGACCCAAAUUUAGUUAUGAAUUAUGUUGUCAAUUAACAGAUGUUUUUUAAUGGGAUAAUAAAAGUUCUUAAAAACAAUAAUAUGAUUACAUCAGGAUUACUCUUUAUUGUAUAAACUUAUUGUAAAGAAGGUAACUUUAUUCUGUAUAAGCAUGCAACUUUUCUUACAUUAUACUGUAUCGGUUACAUAUUAUUUGCAACGAUUUGACAUAUAUAAAACUUGUUCCGUAAAAUACUUGUUGUAUGACUGCCUUUGUCCCCAAUUAACUUGUUCAUCAUGGAUUGAUAAAGCAGGGAUAAUUUGAUUUCAAGUCUAUGGAUUUCGGGUUGAAACCAUGUGCUACUACUACCUUACAAGAUGAUAGCCUAAUGUUAGAUAGGCUAUCCAGUUUGCCUAAUGAAUUGUUAAUUCGGAUACUUUCUUUGCUUCCUACCAAGGAUGCUGUUGCUACUUGCUCAUUGUCUAGUACUAUUAAACGUGCAUUUCCAUGGAUUACGACCCUAGACUUGAGUGAUUCACCUGUCUCGAAUUGUUUGCAACAUCCAUAUGCAAUCCAUCGUUUCCCUAGUUUUGUAUCUUUUGUUGAGACUGUUCUGCGUGCGCAUCAGUCUCGGUAUCUCACCAGCUUUAGACUUCAUCUAGGCAAGGACUACGCCACCACAUACUUGGGUCGCACCAAACAUAAAGUUUUUGGAUGUGAGAAAGACUGUUUUCCGGACUUGAACACCAAGCCGUGGAUCUCUUUUGCUAUAACCCGUAUUGGCCUCAAACAACUUGAUCUCCGAAUUCAUGUCAGGGAACCGGGUCAGCUUCCACCAGCUAUCUUCUUGUGUGAGACGUUGGAGGUGCUCAAACUUGAUGUCAACCUCGGUCUUGAUCAAGUUUGCACCAUGCCUUCCUUUCGUCUUCCAAACUUGAAAUUACUACACCUCUAUGCCACUCUCAUUAACGAGGAUGGCUUGUUGCCAAGGUUGGUUUCAAGCUGCCCUAUACUUGAAGAUCUCAAAGUUGUAGCAAAUUGGAAUCAUGUCAACUACACACGUAUUUCUUCGUCUUCUCUCCGGAGGUUGCAUUUAGAAAUAUAUAAACUUGUUGAUGAAUUUAGCAACACUGAUUUUGUGCUUAUCAAUACUCCUAAUUUGGAGUACCUUGGUUAUUAUGAUAAUCUACCUAAACGACUUUCUAUUACAAAUAUGAGUCGGCUGGUAGAAGCAGAAAUAGCCUUCGCAACUGUGACAUUAGGUCAAGUUGAAGAUCUUCAAGUAUUGCUUAGCCUUAUCAAAGCUCUCGAUAAUGUUCACCAUUUAUCUUUGCACGGCAUUUGGGCACAGGUUUGUUUAAAUUUCUAGUUUUGCUCGGGAAAUUCCCUGUUUCUCAUAAUGGCAUUUUCGUGAAUAAAUCAACAACUUUUUCAUUAUUGUGGGCUCCACAAUUGAAUAAAGUUGUUGGUUUAUUUACGAAAAUGUUAUGUGAGAAACAAAAUUUGCUUCUCACCUGAGAAAUUGGGGCAUCCUCGUUUUGCUCCCUGAUUUCUCAUUUAUUUAUAUACUCCCUCCAUUUUUUUUAUCGCCUCAUUAGUAAUCUUGCACAAGAUCUCAUGAACUUAAAAAAAUUUCUUUACAAGUAUUAAAUUUCAUUUGCAAAAGGAGGUAGUAUAUAAAAACAAUAUGUAGUAUGUAUUUUAUAUUAUGUAAUGUGAGAUUGACUUAUUGCACCUUUGGUUGAAGGAGCUAAAUGUUGAUGGUAUAGAGGAUAAGCUGCCACUGUUUCAUAAUUUGAAAUAUCUAGAGCUGGCUUAUUCUUAUCAUAACUGCUGGGAUAAAGUCGUUUUGGCAUUUCUCAAUCGUUCACCGGUCUUAGAAACUCUUGUUUUUCCUAAGGGAUUAAUAUCAUAUUCAUAUGUGGGUGGACAAGGUAGAGUAACGUUUCCUUUUCCUGACGAGAAGAUACUCAAGGAACAAGUGUUUUUUAAUAAAACUCUAGCAGUGAUUCCUUCAUGUUGCAGAUAUCAUCUUAAAAGAAUUGUGAUUGAUUACUACUAUGGGGCGGAGCGGGAAGUGAAUUUGAUCCAGUUUUUGUUUAGACAUGCUUUUGUGUUGGAGGAAUUGAUCAUAACGAAGGGACAUGUUGCUGAAGAACAUAAUAUGGAACUCGAAAGUACAUUACAGAGUCUACCAAGGGCCUCAGCUACAUGUUCAAUUCUGUUCUAUCCAAGCAGAGAGGAGACAGUACAGCUUCAUAGGAGAUCGCCUCAAAAUAGGUCCAGGUUUGGUGGGUAACUGGCUGGAGAUGGAGGAAUACCAUACCCGCCAUGGGUGAUGGGGGCGGGAAUGGAUGUACCCGCCCCCUAUACUUAUAUGUAUGCAAAUAAUUUAAUUCAACUUCUCUAGUGAAGACAUACUUAUAUAUUUUGUAAUUUUAAUUUAAUUUUUGGUAUGUAUUCUACUUUUAUUAUAAGAUUUAAAUUUUUAACCUUAGACGAUUGUGUAUUGAGUCUUUUAUUAUUAUUAUUAUUAUAUGUAGUAAGAAGGAUAUUAUACUACAACUGUCAUAUCUGCGGGUUUAUCACAUUUGA